rnacentral:rRNA from 1 species
CAGCAGCCGCGGUAAUACGUAGGGUGCAAGCGUUAAUCGGAAUUACUGGGCGUAAAGCGUGCGCAGGCGGUUUGUUAAGACAGAUGUGAAAUCCCCGGGCUUAACCUGGGAACUGCAUUUGUGACUGGCAAGCUAGAGUAUGGCAGAGGGGGGUGGAAUUCCGCGUGUAGCAGUGAAAUGCGUAGAUAUGCGGAGGAACACCGAUGGCGAAGGCAGCCCCCUGGGCCAAUACUGACGCUCAUGCACGAAAGCGUGGGGAGCAAACAGGAUUAGAUACCCCUGUAGUCCCUGUCUCUUAUAC